CAGAGACUGCAAGCGUUAUUCGGAUCACUGGGCGUAAAGGGUGCGCAGGCGGCCAAGUGUGUUAGGCGUGAAAGCCCGGGGCUUAACCCCGGAAUUGCACCUAAAACUACAUGGCUAGAGCAUUGGAGAGGGUAGCGGAAUUCACGGUGUAGCAGUGAAAUGCGUAGAUAUCGUGAGGAACACCAGAGGCGAAGGCGGCUACCUGGACAAUUGCUGACGCUCAGGCACGAAAGCGUGGGGAGCAAAAGGGAUUAGAUACCCCUGUGGUCCACGCCCUAAACGGUGCACACUAGGUCUUGGCGGAUUCGACCCCACCAGGGCCCAAGCUAACGCGUUAAGUGUGCCGCCUGAGGACUACGGCCGCAAGGCUA
rnacentral:rRNA from 1 species